AGCGAACGCUGGCGGCAGGCCUAACACAUGCAAGUCGAGCGGCCGUAGCAAUACGGCAGCGGCAGACGGGAGAGUAACACGUGGGAACGCGCCCUUCGGUUCGGGAUAACCCAGGGAAACUUGGGCUAAUACCGGAUACGCCCUUACGGGGAAAGAUUUAUUGCCGAAGGAACGGCCCGCGUCCGAUUAGCUAGUUGGUGAGGUAACGGCUCACCAAGGCGACGAUCGGUAGCUGGUCUGAGAGGAUGACCAGCCUCACUGGGACUGAGACACGGCCCAGACUCCUACGGGAGGCAGCAGUGGGGAAUAUUGGACAAUGGGCGCAAGCCUGAUCCAGCCAUGCCGCGUGGGUGAUGAAGGCCCUAGGGUUGUAAAGCCCUUUCAGCGGGGAAGAUAAUGACGGUACCCGCAGAAGAAGCCCCGGCUAACUUCGUGCCAGCCGCCGCGGUAACAC
rnacentral:rRNA from 1 species